GCCUAGUUGGCUUAGUUGGUAUAGUACGUCUACCUUGUAAGCGCUAGGCCGCGGGUUCGAUUCCCGCCCGGGGCG
rfam:Asian citrus Psyllid, Diaphorina citri - Florida Strain, whole genome shotgun sequence.